ensembl:miRNA mdo-mir-181b-1 mdo-mir-181b-1
AAGGUCACAAUCAACAUUCAUUGCUGUCGGUGGGUUUAACUGUAUGGACAAGCUCACUGAACAAUGAAUGCAACUGUGGCCCCACUU